ACUAUACAAUCACUGGUGUCCGCUGCGGUCAAAGCCAAGGACAAAGCAUACUGUCCCUACAGCAACUUCCGGGUCGGUGCCUCUGUCCUCUGUGCUGAUGGGUCUAUCGUUACUGGGGUGAACGUAGAGAAUGCCUCAUACGGCAUGAGUGUCUGCGCGGAGA